rnacentral:rRNA from 1 species
CAGCAGCCGCGGUAAUACGGAAGGUCCAGGCGUUAUCCGGAUUUAUUGGGUUUAAAGGGAGUGUAGGCGGUCUGUUAAGCGUGUUGUGAAAUUUAGGUGCUCAACAUCUAACUUGCAGCGCGAACUGGCGGACUUGAGUGCACGCAACGUAUGCGGAAUUCAUGGUGUAGCGGUGAAAUGCUUAGAUAUCAUGACGAACUCCGAUUGCGAAGGCAGCGUACGGGAGUGUUACUGACGCUUAAGCUCGAAGGUGCGGGUAUCGAACAGGAUUAGAUACCCCAGUAGUCCCUGUCUCUUAUAC